AUGAGUGUGUUCCGUCUUCCUGCCUCGGUAUGUGAUGAUCUUACACGAUUGAUGAGGCAAUAUUGGUGGGGGGAGAAGGGAAAGCGUAAGAUGGCCUGGCUUAGUUGGGAUAAAAUGAUAUUACCCAAGUUUAAAGGUGGUAUGGGCUUCAGUGAUAUGAUGGAUUUCAACCAUGCAUUACUUAAUAAACAAGCGUGGGGUUUGCUGGAUGCACCUAACAGUUUGUGUGCUCAUCUCCUCUAUGCAAAAUACUAUCUAACUAGGAACCUAUUGGACAACGUUUUUUCACAUAACUCUUCGGCUGUUUGGAAGGGGAUUUAGCAUGGAUUGGAGCUGGUGAAGAAGGGCAUUAUUUGGAGGGUUGGGAAUGGCGCCAUGAUCAGAACUUGGCAAGAUCCAUGGAUUCCGAGGGGUUCCUCUUUUGUCCCAGUUACUCCGAAGCGUAAUUGUCGGUUUAACUAGGUGGCCAAUUUCUUGGAUGAUAAUGGAGGCUGGAACAUUGACAUGCUUAAUACUCAUUUUUGGGUGGAUGUUCAGGAGAUUCUAAAAAUUUGAACAUUUCCCAGACAACAAAGUGACUUCUUUGCUGGGCAUCUUGAGAAAUUUGGAAAUUUUACAGUGAGAAGUGCAUAUAGAUUAGCGACAACUGAACAUGAUGAGUCGUUAUUGGGAGGCACAUCAAGUAGCUCACCGCAUGGUGAGCGGUUGUUAUGGAACUGUAUUUGGAAAGCAGUUGUACCGCAAAAGAUGAAGAUCACUAUGUGGAAGAUGGUAUCUGGGCCACGCUCGACAAGGCAAACCGGCACCUGGAUAGACAUGGAACCUUGA
rnacentral:rRNA from 1 species